GAGACUCCAGGUGAUACACGGGUCCCGAGCCAAGAGCUGUUUCACAUCAACUCCUGACUUACCUGGGUCAGCCUGGAUUUCCCCCGAGGUCCACGUCCUGCGUGAUCUGUGAAGUGUCAACACCAAUCAAGGCCAGACGGUCCAGGUCGUCGGCUCCUCAGUCGGAGAUGAGACAGAGGAAUCAUCGAUCCACCUGCAUCCUGUUCUGUCGCUCUGCAUCCAGAUGGAAGGCAACUCAGCCACUCCUGUUUUCCAUGAAAAAGAACUGUCUGCUGCGCCACGAUCGAUCCACCCCCUUACUCCACUGCAGAGACAUCACAACAAAUAGUUCUGCACACGAUGUGAUGUGAAAUGAUUGAAGCUGCGGGGUCUGUUCUUCAGCUGCUGCUCGAUUAAUUUUUUUAAAUGGCCUCUAAAGAUGAGAAUGAAGAAGUAAACAAAAAGAAAUAAUGGAUUUGGGUUUGGUUGGGAGAGAUUCAGUUUUUAAAAGACAAAUGACUCUGUGAGAUGUCUCCUCCUCGUUCCUCACAGGCUGGAGCCCAUCUGCUGCCCCGAGGGGCCAAACACAACAGGAGGAUUUCAAUUUAAAAAAA